AUUGAACGCUGGCGGCAGGCCUAACACAUGCAAGUCGAGCGGAUGAAGGGAGCUUGCUCCUGGAUUCAGCGGCGGACGGGUGAGUAAUGCCUAGGAAUCUGCCUGGUAGUGGGGGAUAACGUCCGGAAACGGGCGCUAAUACCGCAUACGUCCUGAGGGAGAAAGUGGGGGAUCUUCGGACCUCACGCUAUCAGAUGAGCCUAGGUCGGAUUAGCUAGUUGGUGGGGUAAAGGCCUACCAAGGCGACGAUCGGUAAUUGGCCUGAGAGGAUGAUAAGUCACACUGGAACUGAGACACGGUCCAGACUCCUACGGGAGGCAGCAGUGGGGAAUAUUGGACAAUGGGCGAAAGCCUGAUCCAGCCAUGCCGCGUGUGUGAAGAAGGUCUUCGGAUUGUAAAGCACUUUAAGUUGGGAGGAAGGGCAGUAAGUUAAUACCUUGCUGUUUUGACGUUACCAACAGAAUAAGCACCGGCUAACUUCGUG
rnacentral:rRNA from 1 species